CGCAGAAAAAAGAUAAUAAAAACAGAAAACAGGGGAGAUGUCUAUUGGUUGACUGAUUUCAAUCAACGUUACACAGUGAAAUCACACAGAGUAGAGUGACAUUGAAAUAGAGAUUUAUGAAUAUAAAAUAUAUAUUGAAAUUUAGAGAGAGAGAGAAGGAUUGAAAGAACGAACCAAACCCUAGGAGAGAGGAGCCCAC
rnacentral:lncRNA from 1 species